UACUGGUUAGCUCAGUUAGUAGAGCGCUCCACUCGAAAUGGAGAGGUCCCUGGUUCGAUACCAGGACCAGGCGGAU
rnacentral:tRNA from 1 species